CUUCCCAAAAUUCCAAGUAGAUAGCAUGUUUAGGAGCUGAAGCUCAUAGUCCUAGAGGUGCCUGUUAUCAGGGAGCCAGUUCCAGAAUACUAAGACCUUAUCUGCUGAGAAAAAGUCUAAAGAUGGCUGGCUGUACUCAUUUCAUGAUCAGAGUAUCAGAAUAGAAAAACUAAAUGUUAUGUGGGCAAAGAACAUUUGCAGGUGGAAGAUGUGUAUACAGCUACACACCAACUUAAGCCUGGAGUUGCACUGACAUUAAAGUUAUAACAAAAAUGCCACAUACGUUUUGAAGUGCAUAUAAUUAGUCUCAUUUCUGAAAUAAGUAUUAAUCCUUGCUUUUUUGUAUGUUAGCCAACACACAAAAUUGCCAAAGCCAUGUAUUUAGUAUGAGAGACCCAUAUAUGUAUUUUAAGAGUUCACCUGUUGUGUUACCUUUAAAGAAUUUAAACCAAGGUUUUUACUAGGGUUUCUAACAUGUCUAUGAAUCACAGCUAAAAAUGGAAACAUUUUAGGUUUGACAUUCAUUUUUUAAAUAACUUGCCAGUUUUUAGUAAACAAUACCUUUAAAUUUUAUGUAGUCUGCAUGAAUAAUCAAAUAUACAAAUAACUCAUACAUGCUCUUCCCUUUUGUAUUUUUGAGGAUGAGAUUAUAAAGUUUGAAGUAUAUAAUCUUGAAUCUUCAUUUCUAAGUUUUUAUGUAUAACAAGGUUUACAUUGUAAUAAACUCAUUUGGAUCUUUGCAUUGAGUGGUUAAAUAAGGUGCUGAAACUCA
rnacentral:lncRNA from 1 species